CGGCAGCUUUGUGUGAUGUUCCUUCUGACAUACGGAGAAGACAUCAGAUAAAUCUGCGCUU
rnacentral:pre_miRNA from 1 species